rnacentral:rRNA from 1 species
GACCCUUCGGGGAGCCUAGUACAGGUGUUGCAUGGCUGUCGUCAGCUCGUGUCGUGAGAUGUUCGGUUAAGUCCGCUAACGAGCGCAACCCUCGUCGUAUGUUAUAUGUGUCAUACGAGACUGCCGGUAAAAGCCGGAGGAAGGUGAGGAUGAUGUCAAGUCAGCAUGACCUUUAUAUCCAGGGCUACACACACGCUACAAUGGUCUGUACAAUGGGUAGCCAAGCCGCGAGCGGAGCCAAUCCUGAAAGCAGGCCUCAGUUCAGAUUGCAGUCUGCAACUCGACUGCAUGAAGCCGGAGUUGCUAGUAACCGCAGGUCAGCAAUACUGCGGUGAAUACGUUCCCGGGUCUU